rnacentral:tRNA from 1 species
GGGGGUUUAGCACAGUGGCAAUGCAGCGGUCUCCAAAACCGUCAAGACGGGUUCGAUUCCUGUAACCCCCGCCA